UAGAGGAAUAGGUCAGUCAGCAAGAGGUAGAUGAUGCAUAAUACAAGGCAGAUACAUUCUUACACGUUGACACAGUGGGGCAAAGAGAAAAGCAGGUGCAUUUUACACAGAAAGGCCUCAGACACAGCGGCCAAAAGCGAUAACAGGUACACUGCUAUACAUAUAAGCACCAGCAACAGAGAGAAAGAAGGUGCACCGGUAAAACAGAGACAGCAGACAGCUUGGGAUAAAGUGAGAAAGCAGG